rnacentral:rRNA from 1 species
CAAUAGCGUAUAUUAAAGUUGUUGCAGUUAAAAAGCUCGUAGUUGGAUUUCUGGUCGGAAGCUCCUGUCCUCUGAUGAGCGUACAAGUGCGUCCUACCAUCCUUCUGUUAACCUUUAAGGCUUUCGCGGCUUUCUAGGGGCUCAGAUAUCUUACCUUGAGAAAAUUAGAGUGUUUCAGGCAGGCUAGCGCCGGAAUACAUUAGCAUGGAAUAAUGGAAUAGGACUUUUGCCUCUUCUGUUGGUCAUGAGGCUCGAGUAAUGAUUAAUAGGGAUAGUUGGGGGCAUUAGUACUUAACUGUCAGAGGUGAAAUUCUCGGAUUUGUUAAAGACUAACUUAUGCGAAAGCAUUUGCCAAGGAUGUUUUCAUUAA